AACGAACGCUGGCGGCAGGCUUAACACAUGCAAGUCGAGCACCCCGCAAGGGGAGCGGCAGACGGGUGAGUAACGCGUGGGAAUCUACCCAUCUCUACGGAAUAACGCAUGGAAACGUGUGCUAAUACCGUAUACGUCCUUCGGGAGAAAGAUUUAUCGGAGAUGGAUGAGCCCGCGUUGGAUUAGCUAGUUGGUGGGGUAAAGGCCUACCAAGGCGACGAUCCAUAGCUGGUCUGAGAGGAUAAUCAGCCACACUGGGACUGAGACACGGCCCAGACUCCUACGGGAGGCAGCAGUGGGGAAUAUUGGACAAUGGGCGCAAGCCUGAUCCAGCCAUGCCGCGUGAGUGAUGAAGGCCCUAGGGUUGUAAAGCUCUUUCACCGGUGAAGAUAAUGACGGUAACCGGAGGAGAAGCCCCGGCUAACUUCGUGCCAGCAGCCGCCGUAAUAC
rnacentral:rRNA from 1 species